UACAGAGGUCUCAAGCGUUGUUCGGAUUCAUUGGGCGUAAAGGGCGCGUAGGCGGCGGGGUAAGUCUGGUGUGAAAUCUAGGAGCUCAACUCCUAAACUGCACUGGAUACUGCUCUGCUAGAGGACUGGAGAGGAGACUGGAAUUCACGGUGUAGCAGUGAAAUGCGUAGAUAUCGUGAGGAAGACCAGUGGCGAAGGCGGGUCUCUGGACAGUUCCUGACGCUGAGGCGCGAAGGCCAGGGGAGCAAAGCGGG
rnacentral:rRNA from 1 species